UGCGUAGGGAGCAAGCGUUGUCCGGAUUUAUUGGGCGUAAAGAGCGCGUAGGCGGCUCGGUAAGCCGGAUGUGAAACCUCCAAGCUCAACUUGGAGCGGCCAUUCGGAACUGCUGUGGCUAGAGUCUGGUAGGGGAACACGGAAUUCCUGGUGUAGCGGUGAAAUGCUUAGAUAUCAGGAGGAACACCAGUGGCGAAGGCGGUGUUCUGGGCCAGUACUGACGCUGAGGCGCGAAAGCGUGGGGAGCGAACAGG
rnacentral:rRNA from 1 species